rnacentral:rRNA from 1 species
CAGCAGCCGCGGGAAUACAGAGGGUGCAAGCGUUAAUCGGAAUUACUGGGCGUAAAGCGCGCGUAGGUGGUUUGUUAAGUUGGAUGUGAAAUCCCCGGGCUCAACCUGGGAACUGCAUCCAAAACUGGCAAGCUAGAGUAUGGUAGAGGGUGGUGGAAUUUCCUGUGUAGCGGUGAAAUGCGUAGAUAUAGGAAGGAACACCAGUGGCGAAGGCGACCACCUGGACUGAUACUGACACUGAGGUGCGAAAGCGUGGGGAGCAAACAGGAUUAGAGACCCCCGUAGUCCCUGUCUCUUAUAC